CUUUCGGCCUUUCUUCAGAUUUUGUGUGCUUUCUACUCAAUCCCGUUAUCCGCCCGAUACAAAGCAUACCACAAAAUUUAGGGUUCCUGUUCUUCUUCCACAAUGAAUCAAAGCGUCUCCCCCUUUGUUCUUCUCUUAUACAGCUAUGGAGUUUCAAGAUGUUGAAUCGCUUUGUCAAUAUUCAAUCCCUACGUUUUUUCUCUUAUAAUCAAUGGAAACGUUUCGAGAGAGCUAUUCAAGAUGAAUCGCGAUGAAUCUGAUGAUGAUUCCCUGGAUCGAGAAGUCUUAGUGUCGUUUCAUCUUCGGUUCUUCUCCUCGGAAUCGUGAAUCUUCCCUCUCUUCAGGCGGUGCAUCUGGAGCUAUAAAAAGAACAAGACAGAUACCAUGAAUGGUAAUUCAAGGAGAGAAUCAGAAACUGAGUCUUCAUCAAGCCUUGCGUCCCAAGACCCUCCUUGCAGAUUAUUUUCUUCUGAUAGCUUACGAAGAAGGAAUCACCGCUCGGGGCAGCCACUGAAUCUGCCCAUCCAGAUGAGUCUCCACAAUCCUCUGUUUUUAUAAGAAAUCUUUUUGAGUUAUUAAAAAACCAAUUGGGUUGUUGUGCUAAUUGCAGCCGGGUUCUCCCCUGAUGAUAAAUAUUCGAAGGAGAGAUUUUUGUUGAAGCGUUUUGGUCUCAUGCCGAUCCAGGGCGCACCUGUCAAGUACUGAAAGGGCUUAGAGCUUCAGAGGCACUAGAAAUCUGCAGCUUGAUAGGAAAACUCGGAACCUAACAUCACCUUGGAGGUGGGAGUCAAAUUGAUCUCUUUGGAGAUGGCCAUGGCCUGAUGUAAGUUUCUUAAGGCCUGAUGGUAGGGGGUUAGUUUAUGUUCUAAGAAGAUCUUGACCAAAAAAGAAGAUCUUGACCAGUUUAUCGAAUUAUGGGCGUAUCAGUUACACGACUGGGAUAAGCAUCGUUCCAAAUCUAUCCAGCAACUACAUCAAGAUCAUUUAUUCAUUCUUGUGUCACUGACAAAUCUAUUUUCGAAUACGCACAACAGAGCAAAAAUUAUGCGUGAUCUGGCGGCGUGGAGAGCAGGAUGUAAACUUCUGUUUUUUUUUGAAUAGGUUCGGGUCCUUGGCUUCACUUUGCUUCUAGAUAACUUCCUGAAGUCAUUUCUGAAAAGUUAUGGGGACUUUGAAGUUAUAGCAUGGGAAUUGGUCAAUUCUCUUUCAGCAUGUAUGGUCAUGAAGACAGACUGCCGUAUCGGAUCAGAGAAUUAGAAGUACCGACAUGUUGGUAUUUCGAAUAAGAACCAUAUUAACACAAUCUGGCCCAGGUUGUGUAGGACUCUAAAGAAUACAUAUCCAUGGACCAUGUAUAGCAUAAAGCUGAGAGCUUAACUUUUUGAAUGUCAUCGAUUGUGCUCCAAGCUUAUAUUUCUUAUCAGUUUAUCUUAGUUCCAUAUUAAUUUAUUUACUUUUUAAUC